UGUCCAGGGAUGGGAAUCGAACCCACAGUGUUCCGCUUACUGGGCAGAUGCCAUGUCCACUAGGCUACCUUGGAC